GUGAUUGCUUUGGCAGCACAUAUCCUAAAAUUGAAAUAAAACACAGAAGAUUAGCAUAUCCCUACACAAGGAUAUUAUGCAAAUUUGAGAACCUAUAUUUUA